UCAGAGAAUGAUCAAGUGGUGCAGGUAUGAUAUCGUCUCAGUGAUUUAUUUUUUGUUACACGUGGUGAAUGAAUAAGUAAAUUGAUCUGAACUUGAAACUAGUAUUUAUUACUGAUUAUUUUUUGUGAUUUGUGAAAUGCAUUUACUGUUUCAUUAACAAGUACAGUUGUCAUUUGAGGUCAGGAGGUUGUUGGUGUGAUUUUGGCCAUUUAUUUAAUUAAGACGGUGAACUACUUUUUUUUUGGCUGUCUUAUUUAUUUUUGGUUGGGGGGGGAGUGCGCUCAUGUUGACAUUCACAAUAAUUGGAGAUCGUGAAGGAAUUUUGAAAACUAUCUAGUCUCAGGACAAAACUGCUUGGAACCAUCAUAAUUGAGUUCUCCAUCUCCUCCCUCUUUCCAUUUGUUGUGGUGGAUGUGAGCCCAUUACAAUUGCCGGACAUGGAUGAACCUCAACUAUUGUCCUGGACACCCAUUUUUCCCAACAGAGAGUGUAGGACAUGGUUUCUAUGAUAUUUAUACCUUUUUCAGUGACUAAAAUGUGAUCAUUAAUAUGAUGUCGCAGAUCAGUUGGUAUUGGGAUCAUUGCAUGGAUAAAUCCUUAAGCAUAUUAUAAAAGUUUGAUAAGUCUUUUUUUGGUAAGGUGUAUCACAUAACAUGGCCUAUGAUGGUAGGAUAUUCAUUAUUGCUUCUUGUGGUUUGUUUCUUUUGUUUUUUUCCCCUAUUGAUUUCUUGACUUGUAUGUUUAAUAGAUUUCAGGAGAGUUUAAGAAUG
rnacentral:misc_RNA from 1 species